GACGAACGCUGGCGGCGUGCUUAACACAUGCAAGUCGAACGGAAAGGCCCUGCUUUUGUGGGGUGCUCGAGUGGCGAACGGGUGAGUAACACGUGAGUAACCUGCCCUUGACUUUGGGAUAACUUCAGGAAACUGGGGCUAAUACCGGAUAGGAGCUCCUGCUGCAUGGUGGGGGUUGGAAAGUUUCGGCGGUUGGGGAUGGACUCGCGGCUUAUCAGCUUGUUGGUGGGGUAGUGGCUUACCAAGGCUUUGACGGGUAGCCGGCCUGAGAGGGUGACCGGCCACAUUGGGACUGAGAUACGGCCCAGACUCCUACGGGAGGCAGCAGGGGGGAAUAUUGCACAAUGGGGGGAAGCCUGAUGCAGCAACGCCGCGUGCGGGAUGACGGCCUUCGGGUUGUAAACCGCUUUCGCCUGUGACGAAGCGUGAGUGACGGUAAUGGGUAAAGAAGCACCGGCUAACUACGUG
rnacentral:rRNA from 1 species